CCAGCUUUUCGCCUGAAUUUUUCAUGUUUGAUCUUUAAUCUCACUUGUCUGUCAUGGGGCAGUGGAGGAGAUGAUGUGUUUUGGAACUGGAGUCUGUGUGGGGGGAUGUCGGACGGUGUUAUCUCUCAACCACCGUGAAAGCUGCUGGGGCUCUCCAUUAAGGUAUUCGUAAGCACAAGUGGUGCUUAAGUAGAGUUUGAGGUUAGUAGACCUGGUAUAGAACAGUGGGGUGCGCUACAAGAAGUAGCAUUUAAAGUCAUCAUUAAAACUAUAAAGCUUAGUCACUAUAAUUUAAAGUCAUCAGAUUUAAAGUCGUUAAAAAUACUUCCGUCAUUAUUGUAUUUGUAGUAAAGUCGUCACAAUUAUGUAAUUUUUUUGUGACUAAAUUUUUGUCACUAAUUGUAAGCGAUUGUGCAC
rnacentral:lncRNA from 1 species